CAAUUAUUUGGGUGUCUAACAAAUCAGAGCACCACAGAAUAACUUAUUUGGACAAAGGAAGCUGGCUGCUGGGGAACAUCAAUCAAACUGGCUAUUUUAGAGUCAACUAUGACCUAAGGAACUGGAGAUUAUUAAUUGAUCAAUUAAUCCGGAAUCAUGAGGUUCUUUCUGUCAGUAACCGAGCGGGCUUGAUCGAUGAUGCCUUCAGCCUAGCCAGGGCUGGCUAUUUGCCUCAGAAUAUUCCUCUGGAGAUUAUCAGAUACCUGUCUGAGGAGAAGGAUUUUCUUCCUUGGCAUGCUGCCAGCCGAGCUCUUUAUCCUCUAGAUAAAUUACUGGACCGCAUGGAAAACUACAACAUUUUCAAUGAAUAUAUCUUAAAGCAAGUUGCAACAACGUAUAUCAAGCUUGGGUGGCCGAAAAAUAAUUUUAAUGGAUCUCUUGUUCAAGCAUCCUACCAACAUGAGUACUGUUUUAUUUUCUUAUCAUCUUCUUUACCCCUAGAGCUGUACAAUAAUGUACUACUAGUGCCAUUGUGACUUUAGCAGCAUGAGACAAUCUUCCUUUCAUUCUUCAUCUUACAUUUCACUUU
rnacentral:sRNA from 1 species